rnacentral:rRNA from 1 species
UACGUAGGGUGCGAGCGUUAAUCGGAAUUACUGGGCGUAAAGCGUGCGCAGGCGGUUUGUUAAGCCAGAUGUGAAAGCCCCGGGCUCAACCUGGGAACUGCGUUUGGUACUGGCAAGCUAGAGUACGGCAGAGGGGGGUGGAAUUCCACGUGUAGCAGUGAAAUGCGUAGAGAUGUGGAGGAACACCGAUGGCGAAGGCGGCUUUCUGGUCUGUAACUGACGCUGAGGCGCGAAAGCGUGGGGAGCAAACAGG